UUGUGUCUCCUUGUCACUCUAUUGCAGGACAGGUACAUUGUGUCUCAUUGUCACUGUAUUGUAGGACAGGUACAUUGUAUCUCCUUGUCACUCUGUUGUAGGACAGGUACAUUUGUCUCAUUGUCACUCUGUUAUGGCUGAUCUUCACCUUCCUCAGAAUUCAUGUCAGAAUCAUAAGAAUGACAGUCAUGACAGGCCGUGGUGGUGCACUACUUUAAUCCCAGCACUCAGGGGGCAGAGGAAGGUGGAUCUCUGUGAGUUUGAGUCCAUUCUGGUCUACAAGAGCUAGUUCCAGAACAGGCUUCUAAGCUACAGAGAAACCCUCCCUGUCUCUGGGGGGGAAAAUGACAGUCAAAACUACCUACCUGUCAGGAAGGCAUUCCAAAACAAGCUGAGAACAGAUUCACAUGGAGGAGUGGUUCCACGACAUCACAUCAAUACAUCCCUGAGCUAUUGGCACAUCUUAUUCCUAUUUCAUCUGAGCGAAAGCUUCCCAAGUUUCCACAUAGCUCACUCACUGAAUUGCUUUCUUCCAGCAUGUUUUUUACAGAUCAGCAGAGGAAGGGGAGCGAAUGGAUGCUUUCUGGCUCAGCUACACCCAAGACUCAGUCCAGUAACAAAAAAAAAUUUCUGUACAGAAUGCAAUGUAAUCUAUGGCUCAUUUGUGGUCUUUUUCCUGGAAAUCCCUACUACAGUUUGUCAUCAAAGAGACAAAAUGAGGGCAGCCACCAGCCAAGUGUGCUUGCCUUGCCAACCAACAAGAUAACAGAAGAAGCAAAGACACAACGAGGCCACAUAGGAGUUAAAGCUAAAGGAAGUUAGCAGCAUCUCCCAGGGCCUUCCUUUCUCUGCUCCCCAGAUGGCAAGAUACUGACAAACUGAAGUUUCACCAUUGUCAGGCUCAGGACAUCUCGGGCUCACGAGGCUAUCCUUGGGUUUACGGCAGAAAGAACUGGACCAGUGAGAUAAGGCAGCCACAACACAAACACGAGGACCAGUGUGUCAGUGUGCACACGAGGACCAUGAAAGUUCUGCUAUGUCCCUACCGUGUGCCCCUGUACUCGAGUUUCUGCAGGUCUCUCUGGAACCCUGGCUUGGGCAGGUCUGCUGCUGUCAAAAUGAGAACUCCUUACCAGAUAACCAGCUUCUCUCACUGCAGUAGCUUGGUGGAGUCACCAGAGGGAGGCAAGGCUAAGCAGGCAGAAACAAACAGGCGGCAUAUGUGACCUACAUUCUCCAGCUCUCCAUGUUCAACACCACUGUGUCGCUGCAUAGUCCCUGUGUCCUUCCCUCUUCCUGCAGGGAUUCCAGUCCAUGAACUGAGUAAUCCUGGGUUCUGUACCUGUGUUUGCACUUCUCCCACUGAACUUGAAAGUCUCUGCCCAUAACAGUCUCCAUUCUGGUACCCAGGUUGUUCUACUACUCCUGGUUUUAGCCUUCUUCCUUUAUGGGUAAGCAGACUCUGAGACACUUCAAAAUAUCCAUGGAUAGCACGUACCAAGAUAACACACAUAAGAGCAAGCAAAAUCUGUUUCUUCGGAGCUUGCUAUGGCAAGAAUCAAAAUUCAUCACUUGCCACUGAGGCUCACAGGAAGGCAGGGUGAGGAAACUCCGUGGAGAAGGGAAGAUCUGAAAGCCGGCAUCCCACAGGGACUGCUUUGGAAACUCUGGUGGCUUCAAAGAAAAUAAUCCCUAAAGGGAAGGGCACUAUUAGGAGGUGUGACUUUGUUGGAGGAGGUGGUGGGUCACUGUGCAGGUGGGCUUUGGGGUCCCUUUUCCUCAAGCUUCCCUCAUUGUGACAGCCAGUUGAUUUCCUGCUGCCCUCUGGUGAAAGAGGUAGCCAACGCCACAUCUGUCUGCACACUGCCAUGCUCCCCUUCAUGAUCAUAAUGGACUGAACUUCUGAAACUGUAAGAAAUCCACCCUAAUUAAAUGUUUCCUUUAUAAGAGUUGUCAUGGUCUUGGUGUCUCUUCAUAGCAAUAAAAACCCCAGCUAAGACAGAAACUAUUUGUUUU